rnacentral:tRNA from 1 species
GGGCUGUAGCCCAGUUGGUGGAGCGCUUGCCUACUAUGCACAGACCUGGGUUCAAUCCCCAGAGCCCC